CUGGUACCAAAAAAAAAAAAAAGAAGAAGAAGAAGAAGAAUGAAUGAAUGAAUGAAUGAAUUCAUCAUGAUCAAGAAUGGGAUGAUUCUCAACCAAAACAGUGAGGGGGACCUUCUUUACUUGGUUUACCGAUUCAAAUACUAAUAUAUUUUGAAAAUACCCCCAGAGACACACUCAAAAAUAAUGUUUAACCAGCUACCAGAGCCUGUUAUGUUGACACAUAGAAUUAUCCAUCGUCCUCAGGCUCCUGUUUGAAUUAAAAUUGCAUCUGGGACCUUUGUCGGCCAUGUUUUCCACCUUGUGGCAUGAUCUGCCACCUUUACUUGUGUAACUUGGCCUUUUGACCAAGUAUUAGGGACCGUCGUAUAGCCAGGAGAGCAUCCAGGUAGCGUCCACUCCUACCUACCCCACCUCAUCCACCUUUUUUCGACACUGUUUUCUGAGCACUGGUAUCCCUGCCUCCCUCCUAACACUGCCAAUUCUCUACACUGAGGACCAUGUCAUCUUCUAUAGAGCCACCCUUUCAUGGUGGUUCAGAACAUGGUUUAAGGGUAUUUAUUUGGGCAUGCUACUUCACCUGAGUAUAUUUAAAUUUUUUAACCUCUAAAAUGAAUAUAACAACAGAAUACACUUCCCAGGGAGGCUGAGAAGACUGAAUUUGAUUCUGGUCAUAACACAUUUUCUCUAUAAUGUACUAUGUCAAAGAUCAAUAAAUGGAAGUGUUUCUAACAGUUUUUUCCAAAUCAUAAGCAAGCUGAACACCUGAAACAAUAUUUAUGUGAAGUCUUUCAAAAAACUACAGUCCUUUUCUUGAGCCAAUUUUUUUUUUUUAUAUUCCUCAGGAAUAACAAACAUAUAAUGCUAAUGUUCUGGGAGGAAUGUGUAACUGAAACCCAGAUGGCACGUAAAUAGAACAAAUACUAAAGUCUUGGACAGAGAAGAAUGCUUUCAACUCUGUCACUGAGACUCUGGUGCAGGGCUUCUGCCUUCCAAAACUGGCCCAUUUAAUGUUCCUAUAUGAAGAGAUGGUUCCUAAGGUAUCAUGAGCUCCUUUAAGUCGCUAGGCAAAAACACAAGGCAUUGUGUGUUACUUUCAGACUUAAAAGCAGCAAAGGCUGGCUCAGAAUGUGUACUGAGCUGUAAAACUAAAUCCAGAUGUGUUGUGAUGUGGCCGGGUUAACAGUGAAGCCAGGAGGGGUUUUGUCUUUUUAGUGUGACAGCUGCCCUCUGGUGGGAGAGAUGGGAAUUGCACCAAAGCAGGGCCGAUUCCUCAGAAAUAAAAAUUCUAAAGAAGCAAUUCUUAUUUCUCUUGCCUCGUGACUUCAUUUUCCAAAUAAACAUCCCCAUACACCCCACUUUCACUAACUGGUCUAAUGCUUGCAACUUUUAGGUUACUUUCAUUGUUUG
rnacentral:lncRNA from 1 species